rnacentral:rRNA from 1 species
UACGUAGGGUGCAAGCGUUGUCCGGAAUUAUUGGGCGUAAAGAGCUUGUAGGCGGUUUGUCGCGUCUGCUGUGAAAUUUCGGGGCUCAACCCCGAACUUGCAGUGGGUACGGGCAGACUAGAGUGUGGUAGGGGAGACUGGAAUUCCUGGUGUAGCGGUGAAAUGCGCAGAUAUCAGGAGGAACACCGAUGGCGAAGGCAGGUCUCUGGGCCACUACUGACGCUGAGGAGCGAAAGCAUGGGGAGCGAACAGG